UCCUCCUGGUGCUCUCUCUUCAGACAUACACCUUUGGCAUCCUGGGCCAACAUCUAGAAGGCUGGCUACCCUGAAGCCGCCUUGCUGGAGAGACCACAUCGAGGUAGAGGGACAAUGAGAUGCCCCAAGAGCUUCAGCAUUUGCAGGCACCAUCUGUUUGAGUCUCCCAGGCUGGAUGUGUGAGUGAGCAAGCCUUCUAAGGAUUCCAGUUCUAGACACUGAGCUGCCCCAGCUGAUGCUGAGUGGAGCAGACGUGGAUGACCCUGUGAGCCCCGCCCUAGCUGCAGAUUCAUGAGCAAACUAGAUGUCGUCGCUUCUUAAAUCACUCGAUUUUGAGCAUCAGGUUGAAAAGCCCCCCGCAACAGUCUGAUGCACAUCUCGCUGGACCAAGUAGCUUCAACCAGAGUUCAACCUUAUUGGAAGUUAGGAUGUGUUCAUCGGUAAACAAUAGGAAUCUCAACACGAAUGGACUGGACCAUGUUACAUCUCAUUCCAAGGAGCUGAAUGGGAGAUUGUGCUGAAUAUCCAAUGAAUGUGCCAACGGAGUUUGCAGUGGGAAGGAGGGGGAGCGAUGUUUUCCAGAUGAUGGAAUUUGAGAAGGCUACAAGGAAAAGGUGAAUUCUGAGACCUUCUAAGAUAAGUCAAAUUGCAACGUACAGAGGUAAGCAGGCAGAUAUACAGGCAUGGGAAAAGUCUUUCCUAUUGAAAAAGGCCAAAACAAAGAGAAAGAUAUUCAGAUGGGAUGAUGGGUUGGGGCGAGAUUCUGGAAUACUUGAUAUGCUGUGCUUGUCUUGUCUUCUCUGAACACUUCCAGGUCUGAGAUGUACUCACUGAAGCCUACGGAGACAUGCACUGUGCGUGGAGCCCUGUUCAAGGUUGACAGAAGAGAAAACAAGCAGAGAGCACACAGGUGACUUACCCAAGGACACACGCAUCAGGGUCACAGGUCCUGACUAUUCUAACUGGUCUCCACAUCCUUAACAUAAGUGCCACCUCCUCCAUGAAGGCUUUGGAGAUUUCCCCAGUCAGGUUGGUCAUUCUCUAUUUUAAGUCUCUAAAACCAUUAUUUCACCAUUCUUAGGGAAACCAGACUGCCUUGCCUUUUCUCAAGGCCUUAUCUGUGAAUGUUCUUGGUUUCCUUUGACUGUCUUCCUGAGCAAAGCUCUGAACCCAACAUCCUUAUUUUCUUCUCAUGCACGUUGAAUUGAAUCCAUGCCUUUCCUUCAUGUGUAGAGAGAUUGUCCUCUCUAGGCCUUUAGAUGGGGGACAAUGAUACCCCAGCUGUUUAUCACGGGGCUUGCUCUGGAUUGAAGUCUUUCUCUGUGGGGAAGUAAAUAGAAGUCACAGAGCCAAUGACCUUGGGGAAGGGAGUGGGUUUCUGCAAUUUGUAAGUGGUGUAAAUAACUGGCUUAGCUUGGGUUCUUGAGUCCUUUUCUGAGAUGGCCCCAGAAGUCCUAAUGACUUCCUAUUCUCUAAGUGUCAUUCAACACUGCGACUCAGGCUUGCCUCCAGGAAACAUUGUCUCUCCAGCACUAUCCAGCCAAAAUGAGCUGUGUUGGACAAACAGGAAUUCACCACAGAGGGAAUGGCGUUCCAGGAAAAAGAAAUUGCACGUGUAAUUCUUUGGGCUUGGAGGCAUGGCACAGUCUUUAUCAUUGAAGGAGUGUGGAAGACUUCAAUGUGAUGGAGCAAAAGGUGUAAAAUUCACAUUCGUUGAGUUGAAUGAAGUUCCUCUAUUGCUUCUAGAGACAGGAUACCUCCUACCCUGCUUGGUGAGAAUAGAACCUCAUUUUUAGGGCAUAUUCAGAGGCAAAGAGUUCACAGAACAUCCAUGAUGAGACAGGACCAUUCAUCGAUUUAUUUAAUCAUCUUCCUCUGCUCGGUUAAACACAUCCCGGAGAGUGGAGUUUGAGCAGAACUACGCUUUCAUCCUUGGAGCAGGAGCCACAUGUGUAUCUUGAUGUUGAGUAAAGCGACUGUCCCAGUUGUGGACAAGAGCUUGCAUGAAACCUCGGCAGUCCCAGCUCCUGAUCUCUCCUGACUGAUACCCAAAGAUGAAAAUGGACGUGAACGACUGUCUGCAUUUUAAAGACGUUUGUCUGAGGUUUUUUUGUUUUUCUUUUUUCUGUUGUUCAGGGUUAGAGAAAUUGGCCGCCUGCCCUUAGUCUUUCAAGCAGGUUUCAAUGAGCAAAGAAAGGAAACAAAGGGUAGAAAACAAUGAGCACGUGCACAGUUUCUAAGUGUUUCCAGGACGAAAACGGUAGUUCAGACAACUUGAAAAGAAAUGAAUAAAAAAGGCCGCCAUGGUACUCUUACUCGUCUCCUGAAUACGACAAGAGGACCCAGAGGCUGUGCUGGGACAAGGGAUUUCUCCCUAGGUCCCUAAGUGUGCGAGGCCCAAGGUCUGCCUUUGCUUGGAUCUUUGGAAGGCAUCUUCUCUUAGCUCCAAUCCCACAUUUCAGACCAUCUCUCAGUUUCUUUUUCCUUUUUUUUUGAGGAAGAUUAACCCUGAGCUAACUACCGCCAAUCCUCCUCUUUUUACUGAGGAAGACUGACCCU